GACGUAGGGUGCGAGCGUUGUCCGGAUUUAUUGGGCGUAAAGAGCUCGUAGGCGGCUUGUUGCGUCUAUCGUGAAAACCUGCAGCUUAACUGUGGGCUUGCGGUGGAUACGGGCAGACUUGAGUUCGGUAGGGGAGACUGGAAUUCCUGGUGUAGCGGUGAAAUGCGCAGAUAUCAGGAGGAACACCGGUGGCGAAGGCGGGUCUCUGGGCCGAUACUGACGCUGAGGAGCGAAAGCGUGGGGAGCGAACAGG
rnacentral:rRNA from 1 species